rnacentral:rRNA from 1 species
AGGGAAUCUUCCACAAUGGACGGAAGUCUGAUGGAGCAACGCCGCGUGAAGGAAGAAGGUUUUCGGAUUGUAAACUUCUGUCCUUGGUGAAGAGAAGAAGACGGUAGCCAAGGAGGAAGCCCCGGCUAACUACGUGCCAGCAGCCGCGGUAAUACGUAGGGGGCGAGCGUUGUCCGGAAUGAUUGGGCGUAAAGGGCGCGUAGGCGGCUUUGUAAGUCUGGAGUGAAAGUCCUCUUUUCAAGGGAGGAAUUGCUUUGGAAACUAUAGAGCUUGAGUGCAGGAGAGGUUAUCGGAAUUCCCGGUGUAGCGGUGAAAUGCGUAGAUAUCGGGAGGAACAUCGGUGGCGAAGGCGGGUAACUGGACUGCAACUGACGCUGAGGCGCGAAAGUGUGGGGAGCAAACA